GGAGUCGAGUAUUCCCCUACUCCUGAUUGAAGCGGGAAGCAGAGGAAAGCCAGAAUAAGACAAGGAAACGUUGUGGGGUGGCUGGCCAUCCCUGAAGAUGAACCUUGCCAGGAUGGAAAGCAAGAAACAUUAGGUUUAGCAACACUGGAGUGUGGCCAGAAUGGAAAAAAGUUAUUAACGAAGGAGAACACACAAGCU
rnacentral:lncRNA from 11 species